rnacentral:tRNA from 1 species
AGUAAGGUCAGCUAAUUAAGCUAUCGGGCCCAUACC